rnacentral:rRNA from 1 species
CCUACGGGUGGCUGCAGUAGGGAAUCUUCCACAAUGGGCGAAACCCUGAUGCAGCAACGCCGCGUGAGUGAUGAAGUAUUUCGGUACGUAAAGCUCUGUUAGCAGGGAAGAUCAUGACGGUAACUGACUAUGAAGCUCCGGCUAAAUACGUGCCAGCAGCCGCGGGAAUACGUAGGGACCAAGCGUUAUCCGGAUUUACUGGGUGUAACGGGAGCGCAGACGGUUGGGCAAGUCUGAUGUGAAAGUCCGGGGCUCAACCCCGGGGGAGCAUUGGAAACUGUACGGCUUGAGGGCAGAAGAGGUAAGUGGAAUUCCUUGUGUAGCGGUGAAAUGCGCAGAGAUUAGGAGGAACACCAGUGGCGAAGGCGGCUUACUGGACUGUAACUGACGUUGAGGCUCGAAAGCGUGGGGAGCAAACAGGAUUAGAUACCCUAGUAGUC